CUGAGAUACAUAGAAGAUAGUGCAUAGUAUUAGGAGUAAAGUUACUGUUCUAGCUGCAGUGAAUAACUUAUCAAGUUGCGGAUUCCUGAAAAUAUUGGCAUUUUUCUCUCUUUUUCUUUCCAUAUUUCUUACGUGUUUCCAGAGGGAGUAGAGGAUGGAGAUUGUUGCAAUGAAAAAAAUGGCAAACGCUAUAAAGGAAAUUGCA